rnacentral:rRNA from 1 species
CUUGCACCUGGUGGCGAGUGGCGAACGGGUGAGUAAUAUAUCGGAACGUACCUUAUCGUGGGGGACAACGCAGCGAAAGCUGCGCUAAUACCGCAUACGCCCUGAGGGGGAAAGCGGGGGACCGUAAGGCCUCGCGCGAUUAGAGCGGCCGAUAUCUGAUUAGCUUGUUGGUGGGGUAAAAGCCCACCAAGGCGACGAUCAGUAGCUGGUCUGAGAGGACGAUCAGCCACGCUGGGACUGAGACACGGCCCAGACUCCUACGGGAGGCAGCAGUGGGGAAUUUUGGACAAUGGGGGCAACCCUGAUCCAGCAAUGCCGCGUGAGUGAGGAAGGCCUUCGGGUUGUAAAGCUCUUUUGUCAGGGAAGAAACAGCAGCUCUAACACAGUCUGCGAAUGACGGUACCUGAAGAAUAAGCACCGGCUAACUACGUGCCAGCAGCCGCGGUAAUACGUAGGGUGCAAGCGUUAAUCGGAAUUACUGGGCGUAAAGCGUGCGCAGGCGGUUAUACAAGACAGGCGUGAAAUCCCCGGGCUUAACCUGGGAAUGGCGUCUGUGACUGUAUGACUAGAGUGUGUCAGAGGGGGGUAGAAUUCCACGUGUAGCAGUGAAAUGCGUAGAUAUGUGGAGGAAUACCAAUGGCGAAGGCAGCCCCCUGGGAUAACACUGACGCUCAUGCACGAAAGCGUGGGGAGCAAACAG